rnacentral:rRNA from 1 species
UACGGAGGGUGCAAACGUUGCUCGGAAUCAUUGGGCGUAAAGCGCACGUAGGUGGCCUGUUAAGUCGGGUGUGAAAUCCCUGGGCUCAACCCAGGAAGUGCACUCGAAACUGGCGGGCUUGAGUACUGAAGAGGGUCGCGGAAUUCCUGGUGUAGCGGUGAAAUGCGCAGAUAUCAGGAGGAACACCAAUUGCGAAGGCAGCUCGCUGGGACGUUACUGACGCUGAGACGCGAAAGCGUGGGGAGCAAACAGG